CAAGGAAUUUUCCCCAAUGGGCGCAAGCCUGAGGGAGCAACGCCGCGUGCAGGACGACGGCCUUCGGGUUGUAAACUGCUUUUGCGGGGGAUGAGAAUGACAGUACCCCGCGAAUAAGGCUCGGCUAACUCUGUGCCAGCAGCCGCGGUAAGACAGAGGAGCCAAGCGUUGUCCGGAUUGACUGGGCGUAAAGCGCACGCAGGUGGUCAGGCAAGUGUCGUGUGAAAGCGACCCGCUUAACGGGUCGAGGCCAUGGCAGACUGCCCGACUGGAGGUCGUGAGAGGUCGGUGGAAUUGCCGGUGUAGUGGUGAUAUGCGUAGAUAUCGGCAGGAACACCCAAGGGGAAGCCAACCGACUGGCACGAUGCUGACACUAAGGUGCGACAGCGUGGGGAGCGAACCGG
rnacentral:rRNA from 1 species